GGCCGGGCCGGUCCGGUUUACCCCCUUUUUUUUUUUCUUUUAGGCCUUUUCUUUUUCUGUUUUUCUCAUUUCUUUGAUAUCUUUUGUGUUUGAACUCCAAAUUGGUCCAAAUAAAUUCCAGAAAAUUUGUAAAAUCAUGUUCUACCAUGAUACAACUUUUGGAAGUAGUUUCUCUUCAAAAUAAAAUAUAUAAAAAUACAUUUGCCCUAUACAUGACUUUAGGGCUAUAUAUCUGUUUGAAUAAAAUACUUUUUCAACUCCAAUUAGUUAACCAAAAAUUAUGGGAUAGCUUAUAUAUGCAUUAAACCCUUUUUAUACCUCAACCCUAUUGGUUUGAAAAUCCAAAGGUUACAGGGAUGUAAACAAAAUCUCUUAAAGUCUUUUGUGAUUCAAAAUUUGAAUUCAAACAUGCAAUUGUGGCAUGAUGCUCAUGGAUGCA
rnacentral:lncRNA from 1 species